rnacentral:tRNA from 1 species
GCGGGAGUAGUUCAGUUGGUAGAACGUCUCCCUUCCAAGGAGAAGGUCGCGAGUUCGAUCCUCGUCUCCCGCU